rnacentral:tRNA from 1 species
GGGCCACUAGCUCAACGGUCAGAGCGUCCGCCUCUUAAGCGGAAGGUUCGCGGUUCGAGUCCGCGGUGGCCCACCA